rnacentral:rRNA from 1 species
UACGGAGGGUGCAAGCGUUAUCCGGAUUUACUGGGUUUAAAGGGUGUGUAGGCGGACUUUUAAGUCAGGGGUGAAAUCCCGAGGCUCAACCUCGGAACUGCCUUUGAUACUAUUGGUCUUGAAUGUUGUUGAGUUGGGCGGAACGGGUCAUGUAGCGGUGAAAUGCAUAGAUAUGACCCGGAACACCGAUUGCGAAGGCAGCCCGCUAAGCAACUAUUGACGCUGAGGCACGAAAGCGUGGGGAUCAAACAGG